rnacentral:rRNA from 1 species
ACGGAGGGUGCAAGCGUUAUCCGGAUUCACUGGGUUUAAAGGGUGCGUAGGAGGGCAGGGAAGUCAGUUGUGAAAUCUCCGGGCUUAACUCGGAAAGGUCAACUGAUACUGUGCGACUAGAGUGCAGAAGGGGCAACUGGAAUUCUCGGUGUAGCGGUGAAAUGCGUAGAUAUCGAGAGGAACACCUGCGGCGAAGGCGGGUUGCUGGGCUGACACUGACGCUGAUGCGCGAAAGCUAGGGGAGCGAACGGGA